CCUACGGGAGGCUGCAGUGAGGAAUAUUGGUCAAUGGACGAGAGUCUGACCCAGCCACGUAGCGUGAAGGAUGAAUGCCCUAUGGGUUGUACACUUCUUUUAUAUGGGAGUAAAGUGUUCCACGUGUGGGCUUUUGUAUGUACCAUAUGAAUAAGGAUCGGCUAACUCCGUGCCAGCAGCCGCGGUAAUACGGAGGAUCCGAGCGUUAUCCGGAUUGAUUGGGUUUAGAGGGAGCGUAGGUGGAUUGUUAAGUCAGUUGUGAAAGUUUGCGGCUCAACCGUAAAAUUGCAGUUGAAACUGGCAGGCGUGAGUACAGUAGAGGUGGGCGGAAUUCGUGGUGUAGCGGUGAAAUGCUUAGAUAUCACGAAGAACUCCGAUUGCGAAGGCAGCUCACUGGACUGUAACUGACACUGAGGCUCGAAAGUGUGGGUAUCAAACAGGAUUAGAUACCCCUGUAGUC
rnacentral:rRNA from 1 species